rnacentral:ribozyme from 1 species
GAUCCUCCCCAGCCGUCGGGCUACCUCCGGAUGCUGCCGAAUUGCGGUGGCAAGCUCCCAUGGCGACCCAAACGUCACCGCAUGGUCCACCAAAUAAA